UUGUGGAGGAGGACGCCGAAGGUGGGGCUAAUGACUGGGGUGAAGUCGUAACAAGGUAGCCGUACCGGAAGGUGCGGCUGGAUCACCUCCUAACAGGGAGACAACAAAAUGUUUAAUAUUAUUAUUUUGUCACCUUAGGUCGAUCGGUAUCUCACGUUUUUAAUUUAUUAAGAAUUUCAUUUCCUAAGUUUUUUCUAGGUCACACCCAUUAUUUUCCUGGGCCAUUAGCUCAGGUGGUUAGAGCGCACCCCUGAUAAGGGUGAGGUCCCUGGUUCAAGUCCAGGAUGGCCCAUAUCUCUAUGUUGGGGGUAUAGCUCAGUUGGUAGAGCGCCUGCUUUGCAAGCAGGAUGUCAGCGGUUCGAGUCCGCUUACCUCCACUGAUUACCACCUCUUCCAUAAUCUGUAGAAAGGAAAAUUUUUAGGUUGUGAUCAUAAUUCUGAACGAAUCUAGCUUCCUAAUGAAACCAUUAAGAUGCUGGACUCAUUGAAUUAAUUUCAUUGUUUUCAGGGAACCUUGACAACUGCAUAGAUUAUUCUUUAAAGACAAUAAGCAUCUUUAAUGAUGCAGAUUUAUUAUUUGUGCAAAUGCAUUAAUAACAAUUCUAUUAAGCUGAUGCUUCAAUUAUGAAGUUAUUGGUCAAGCUACAA
rnacentral:misc_RNA from 1 species